GACAGAGGGUGCAAACGUUGCUCGGAAUUACUGGGCGUAAGCGCGUGUAGGCGGACUGGUGUGUCGGAUGUGAAAUCCCCAGGCUCAACCUGGGAACUGCAUUCGAAACUGCCAGCCUUGAGUGGUGGAGAGGGAAGUGGAAUUCCUGGUGUAGAGGUGAAAUUCGUAGAUAUCAGGAGGAACACCAGUGGCGAAGGCGGCUUCCUGGACACCAACUGACGCUGAGACGCGAAAGCGUGGGGAGCAAACAGG
rnacentral:rRNA from 1 species